ACAGAAUGACAGGUGGUGCAUGGUUGUCGUCAGCUCGUGUCGUGAGAUGUUGGGUUAAGUCCCGCAACGAGCGCAACCCUUAUUACUAGUUGCCAGCAUUAAGUUGGGCACUCUAGUGAGACUGCCGGUGACAAACCGGAGGAAGGUGGGGACGACGUCAAAUCAUCAUGCCCCUUAUGACCUGGGCUACACACGUGCUUCAAUGGAUGGUACAACGAGUCGCGAGACCGCGAGGUUAAGCUAAUCUCUUAAAACCAUUCUCAGUUCGGACUGUAGGCUGCAACUCGCCUACACGAAGUCGGAAUCGCUAGUAAUCGCGGAUCAGCAUGCCGCGGUGAAUACGUUCCCGGGCCUUGUA
rnacentral:rRNA from 1 species